UACAGAGGUGGCAAGCGUUGUUCGGAAUUACUGGGCGUAAAGGGCGCGUAGGCGGUCUUGCAAGUCCUGUGUGAAAUCCCUCGGCUCAACUGAGGAACUGCACAGGAAACUGCUUGGCUUGAGUUCGGGAGAGGGAAGCGGAAUUCCGGGUGUAGCGGUGAAAUGCGUAGAUAUCAGGAGGAACACCGAUGGCGAAGGCAGUUCUCUGGGCCGUAACUGACGCUGAGGAGCGAAAGCGUGGGGAGCGAACAGG
rnacentral:rRNA from 1 species